ensembl:lncRNA
GAUUCUGAGGGGCCUGGUUACCAGGACCAGCUGAUACUGAAGGAGAUGGAUUACUGCAGCAGGAAAGAGCUGAGGUGCAUCUUUGACCACUUGACGAACAAAGCAUGCAUCAACUGGGUCAGCUGCCUAGUCCUCGCCAACCGGGUGGUUUUCCGGCUCGUUGUGGGACGACCCGAUAUUAACAGGAUGUCCAAAGUGUUGAAUAAGCUCAAUGGUUAAAAGGGGAGGACUCCAGUUCAAUAUGGGACCAAUCGGGAGGUUGUAGACAAAGUGUGGAAAUCGGUAAAGGAUUUCACGUCAGGCAUUCAGAAAAUAGAUGUCAGGACAGUGAUCAACAGUCCCCAGCAUGCAAAGUCUGGCCAAUCGCCACCGGACCCCUCAGCGCCAGGCCCCUCAGCGCCUGGCCCCUCAGCGCCUGGCCCCUCAGCGCCUGGCCCCUCAGCGCCUGGCCCCUCAGCUCCUGGCCCCUCAGCUCCUGGCCCCUCAGCGCCUGGCCCCUCAGGUCCUGGCCCCUCAGCGUCUGGCCC